CCUCCGCAUACCCUCCUACCAAACCAAGAGGAAACCUAGCCGCGUUCUCCUCUGCGGCACGCAACCUUUGUCCCCCUCUAGAUAUAGAACAACACGCCUCGUCCACCCAUACCUCUACAAGUCAGAUCUAGGCCUGACCUGUAGUUUCCUGACCGUGCUCGCCUCGAUCUCGGGGUAAGCUGAAUUCGGCGUCCAUGAUUUGUUCCGAUCACCCGUUUGUUAUCUGAUUCCCAGGUUUGUCCUUCUGAUCGGCGAGUUGGGGCUUGCGGCGAUCUUGGAGAAAAGACGGGAGGCAAGCUGGAUCUGCCCACGGAAGCUUCCGAUCUGCCCGGCUGGCGUCUCAGAUCUGUUGCUGUUCUGAUGCUUCACGGCGGAUCUGGUUUUUCCCGGCGGUCUCAAGUCGGCGCAGCGGCUGGCGGCGAGUUUUCCGGCAAGCACGUGGGAUCCCGUCUGCUCCUCUACCUCGUGCGACGACGGCCGACGGCUCUUUGUGUUGAUAAUUAUUCGAUGAUAUGUCGGUAAUUAUUAGAUCCAAGAGAUCGGAGGUGAUGAAAGGUAAGAAGAUGUAACAAGCGAGGUGCUUGUGGAGAGGGCGGAGAAGAGCGGAAAAAAAAGAGAUGUGAACAUCUAGAGGCCUUUGCCAUGUUGGGUGCGCUCGCAUGGCAGGCCGCCACCAUAAUAAAGAUGUUUUUUUUGUCUCGGGGGGAGAUCGCACGGGGGUUAUCUUGUUUUAGCCCCGGGUUCUCCCCCCUGUGUGCUGGUGUGCUCCUUUUGUCUGCACCUCUCGUCCGAUCCGACUACAUGGCACAACAAUUCUACCGUCGCGAAUCGAUCAUGGAGCUACAGACGAAAGAACAAAGGUACAAUCGAUAAUUUACAUACAGCUGAACCAUAUAUAAUCAUUGACACCACAAAUUUCAAUACAUACAAGGAUUAUCUUGAAUCCAUACAAGUAACUUUGGUAGAUAUAGAUAUAGAGAUUGUGUUGACACAUCACCACAAAUCUGCAACCAACUACAGCAGUCCAGCCUAAACAAAUUGUUUGCAUGCGGAUUUACAUAUUGUUGUAACAAUUCGAGUAUAUUUGGAUUCUUCACUCAGAAGUUGUGUUUAUUUGUAUGAUAUUCUGUACUAAAUUUAAGUUUAAUUCUCCCUAUAUAAGGAUUUUUUAAUAAGAAAUUCAUAUUAGACCCCUUUUCUCUGGUCUCCUGCUUCAUAUUGUAAUCUGUCUUACGUAAGAUACAAUUUAUGUAGCUUGAACAGCUGUAUGUGGGUCUUUGUAUUACCCAAAUGAAGCCUACAGCUAUACGCAGGUGGACACAUCUUUCUCGUUGGAGCUUGAAGAGACGUGAGAGCUCUAUGAUUCUGGAGAAAUCUGCCGAACACAUCUUACCUCAGGGAAUACCCGCUGGGAGGCUGGUUUACAUGUACUUGCUUACUAAUCUGGAUAAUCAUUUAUUAGAGCGCUAUUUUAAUCAGUUUCGCUACAUAUUAUGGUGAACAUUACAUCCAUUUGUAUCAGUUGGUUAAAGAUAAUUAGAUAUUUAUUAUAUUUGUGGAUAUUCUCCUUGUUGUAUGAUCGGGACAAUAUACUGUUUUAGAUGAUUCUCGUUUUAGAUUCGAUCCUAGGUUAAAUUUGAGGAUGCGGCUGAUGAAAUUAUUCCAUACUGUUCUAUUUAUGAUUACGGUUAUAGAUUCAGGUAACAAUUUAUGAGGCGUUUGCUUUUUUCUUUGGGUGUUAGAUCUGGGUGGGGUUGAACUUCGUAAUUCAAAUUUAGCUUAUUUAAUAAUAUGAUAAUAUGAUACGUAUUUACUUGGUCUAAUUUCUGAUAAAAUUAUGCACUCUAAUUUCUGAUAAUAAUAUGAUAUUACUCUUUGUAAAAGAAUUAUGCAUUCCUUCGUUGCUAGCAUACAAAGCAAAAUGAGUGAAUUUACACCCUAAAAUAUGUGUGUGUACAUCGGCAUGAAGUAAAAUGACUUGCAUUGAGAAAUGGAGGGAGUAAUUUGUUUACUUUUUUGGAUUUAGACAGACCAAAUCUCUAAAAUUGAUUCAAAUUGAGGGAAGGAGGGAGUAGUUUGCUUAUUUUUUGGUUUAUGCAGACCAAGUCUGGAAUUACUCGCAUAAAAUGGAUGUAUUUAGGAACCAAGGCAGUUGUUUGGUUAUUUUUUUUUAAUGUACACAGACAAGUUUUGGUGUGUUUGUGUGUGACUUGAUGUGUAUUAUUUGCGAACGGACAGAAUAUUAUGGAGUAAAUAUGCUAUUUGUGCUGAUAGCUGUUGUGGAUCUUAUCUCUGUCUGGAGAGAUUCUCUGUGGAUACUGAUCGUAUGUUCAGAUCCCGGAUGAAAGGUGGUUCAAUCCCACCAAGGUUCUUUAGCGGUCUAAUAUUUGAGCACUUCAAUCUGAUUGUUUGGUUUACUUUAUGUUAUGGUUGUGAAAAUAUUAUUGGUAGUUUUUGAAUCUUUUGUUUUUGUGUUGCAGGUUAUCGUACUUUAGAAAUAACAAGGUAUUGGGGGAGUAGGGCGAAAAAAAGCCCUCAAACAGCUAGUACAAUCUAUUGGGGGAUUCCAAUGAAACAUCCCAACUCUCCCACGUACUAUGGAAAUACGACCAGACUGCAAAUGCUAUGGCCCACAAACUGAAUCAUCAACUUGUCUCUAAUCGUAAGUGUUGGACGGGGAAUUCAUCAAGGUUCCUUUAAAUAUGAUUACGAAGUCCAUUGUGCCGUUGCCAACCAUUGGUGGAGAGAGAACAUCACAUGCAAAUGGGACAUGUAGUUCCAUAGUAUUGUCACAUUGACAAAUGGGACAUGUUGGUUAUGUCAACAAACGGGACAUGUAGGUCGGUUUGCAAGAAGUAUCUCCACAUGGUCCAACCGCUUAUCUCGUGGGUUCCUUCAUGUGGUCUUGCCACCGCCACGGGCCUCCUCCUGUCACCGCUAAUUUGCGACGGACGAGCACUGGCUUGGCUCAUCUUGCUUCUACCUUAGAAAUCUAAGGAGAAAAUUCUCCCUGCCACAUAGGGCUGGUCGAUCAGGGAGAUGCAACCCUGCACGUCAUGGUUUCCGGCGGCGAAAUCAUCCACAUGGGAGAUGCUGGGAUGCGGUCGUUGGUCCAGUAGGAGGUCACAUGAUUGGGUGAUGUGUUGGGAUUUCCCUUUUUUCUUCAUCAGUACAGGAAGAUUGCCUUGCUAAGGAGGUCUCCUAUACAUGAGUUCUGUGAGAAGGCAAUCAGACGAGGAGUGAUUAUUUUGGUUAUUGCUGUGUGGUAUGUUAAGUUUCAGAAAUGGGGGCUGCCACACACUCAUGCUCAUAUUUCACCGGCCCUGUUUUUCCUUGCCACCAUUGGAUUUGAAGUAACAAUUAGUUAGUGGUGUUCUUCAUGUUACUGUUAUCUCUAUGUAUUCUUCUUUUUGAAACAAUCCUUUUAGAAUCUGGUAUGUGAUCUUGCUUUAUUAGAUAUUGGCAAUUUGCAUUGCCAUUUAGCUGUUUUGACUAUGCAGUAGCGCAAAGUAGAAAUUGCUUUUCAUGAUGUUUCGUGGUAGGUGUAUUUU